rnacentral:rRNA from 3 species
ACGACUCUCGGCAACGGAUAUCUCGGCUCACGCAUCGAUGAAGAACGUAGCAAAAUGCGAUACUUGGUGUGAAUUGCAGAAUCCCGUGAACCAUCGAGUUUUUGAACGCAAGUUGCGCCCGAGGCCAUUCGGCCGAGGGCACGUCUGCCUGGGCGUCACGC